AGCGCAUUGGCGAAGUGGCAACGCAUCGGACUUUGACUCCGCUAUUCGUGGGUUCGAAUCCCACAUGCGCCG
rnacentral:tRNA from 1 species